rnacentral:rRNA from 1 species
UGGGGAAUUUUGGACAAUGGGCGAAAGCCUGAUCCAGCAAUGCCGCGUGUGUGAAGAAGGCCUUCGGGUUGUAAAGCACUUUUGUCCGGAAAGAAAUCCUUGGCUCUAAUACAGUCGGGGGAUGACGGUACCGGAAGAAUAAGCACCGGCUAACUACGUGCCAGCAGCCGCGGUAAUACGUAGGGUGCAAGCGUUAAUCGGAAUUACUGGGCGUAAAGCGUACGCAGGCGGUUUGCUAAGACCGAUGUGAAAUCCCCGGGCUCAACCUGGGAACUGCAUUGGUGACUGGCAGGCUAGAGUAUGGCAGAGGGGGGUUAGAAUUCCACGUGUAGCAGUGAAAUGCGUAGAGAUGUGGAGGAAUACCGAUGGCGAAGGCAGCCCCC